rnacentral:rRNA from 1 species
GAUGAACGCUGGCGGCGUGCCUAAUACAUGCAAGUCGAGCGAACAGACGAGGAGCUUGCUCCUCUGACGUUAGCGGCGGACGGGUGAGUAACACGUGGAUAACCUACCUAUAAGACUGGGAUAACUUCGGGAAACCGGAGCUAAUACCGGAUAAUAUAUUGAACCGCAUGGUUCAAUAGUGAAAGACGGCUUUGCUGUCACCUAUAGAUGGAUCCGCGCCGCAUUAGCUAGUUGGUAAGGUAACGGCUUACCAAGGCGACGAUGCGUAGCCGACCUGAGAGGGUGAUCGGCCACACUGGAACUGAGACACGGUCCAGACUCCUACGGGAGGCAGCAGUAGGGAAUCUUCCGCAAUGGGCGAAAGCCUGACGGAGCAACGCCGCGUGAGUGAUGAAGGUCUUCGGAUCGUAAAACUCUGUUAUUAGGGAAGAACAAAUGUGUAAGUAACUAUGCACGUCUUGACGGUACCUAAUCAGAAAGCCACGGCUAACUACGUG